CCUCCCCACGUUCACUCUACGCCACUGUUCUCCUUUCACAAGCACUUCUUCAUACACCCAGCGCCCAGCCCGGUACGGCCACCCAACCAGACCCUUCUCUCACGUGUUCCACGGCAAUGGCGAACCCUAUUCUCGCAGGAAACGGCAACUCUCCUGAUCUCGGCCCAUCGUCUGCUCUUAUCUUCCUCGGGACUGGGUGCUCCAGCGCCGUUCCCAACGCAAGGUGCCUGAUCCAGCCGUCCGAUCCCCCCUGCAACAUCUGCUUCCAGGCAUUGUCGGUCCCACCAAUGCAGAAUCCUAAUUACAGGUGCAACACAUCCCUUCUAAUUGAUUAUUGUGAAAGAGAGGGUAAUCACAGCUAUAUAUUGAUUGAUGUUGGGAAGACUUUUAGGGAGCAAGUACUUCGGUGGUUUACCCUCCAUAAGAUUCCUAGAGUGGAUUCUAUUAUUUUGACUCAUGAACAUGCUGAUGCAGUUCUUGGUUUGGAUGACAUACGUGCUGUGCAACCCUAUAGUCCUACAAAUGAUAUUGAUCCCACUCCCAUAUACCUAACUCAGCAUGCAAUGGAAAGCAUUUUGGAGAAAUUUCCAUACUUGGUUCAGAAGAAACUUAAAGAAGGUCAAGAAGUGAGGCGGGUAGCACAGCUUGACUGGAAGAUAAUAGAGAACGACUGUGAAAAACCUUUUUCUGCAUCAGGCCUGGAAGUUGUUCCUUUGCCAGUGAUGCAUGGAGAAGAUUACAUAUGUUUGGGUUUCCUCUUUGGUGACAAGUGUAGAGUAGCUUAUAUAUCUGAUGUUUCACGCUUUCCUCCGAAGACAGAGUAUGUUAUUUCGAAAAAUGGUGCUGGACAGUUGGAUAUUCUUAUAUUGGAUACAUUGUAUAAGAAAGGAUCCCAUAAUACCCACUUUUGCUUGCCACAGACACUUGAAGCUGUGAAGAGGAUAUGUCCUAAGCAAGCCCUGUUAAUUGGAAUGACUCAUGAGUUUGAUCACCACAAGGACAAUGAAUUUCUGAUGGAGUGGUCCAAAAGGGAAGGAAUACCUGUGAUGCUUGCGCGUGAUGGUUUGAGAAUCCCUAUAGACCUAUGAUACGGAGCCAUUGGACUGGGGGAUUUUUUCCUUGAAUUACCCCAAGUGCACUUGUGGGAAACUCCUUGCUGAGGACCUGUGCACCCCCAGGAUUAGUCGGGACGCUGUUCUCGGACACCUGGUGCCAGAAAAAAAAGUAGUUAUGAAGAGCUGAGUGGGAACAAUGAGCUCAGUGGUGAUGCUGAAGAGUCAGGUGGUUGAUGAGCACUGAAUUAAAGUGAAGAUAUCUACAUACAGUUUCCAUCCCUUGUUGGGUUUUCAGAAACUAUGGCGCAAUGAUAUUAGUGUCAGACUAAUAAAAAAAAUGAUAGUAGUGUCAGAUUAUUUCUAUUGUCAACAACUUCAUGAAGAUUUAGAGCAACUUUUACAGGGUUGUGCGGAAAGUGGUUUUUAUAUUAAUAGCCGUGGGGUAGAAGUGAUUUGAAUUUGUAUGUUUGAAGAACAUAUUAGUACUUAGUUUAUAGUGUAUUUCCAAACAAAUCUUUCUUGGAUUUGUCAAAGUUCAAAAUAAGAGGAAGUUUUCAGAUUGCAAGAGAAGUGAAUAUAAGUGUGCAAGCAUAGCAAGAAUGUUGAGAUGGUUAUUAUUAUGAUUAAUUUGUCAAGUACAAAAUCCAUGAGUUGAGAUGGUUUGUUUCAUA